rnacentral:rRNA from 1 species
AUGAGCAGGGGGGCUAACCGCAGUUCUUUGAAUCAAAGGUUUCAUGAAAUCGAAAUCGAUUCUUUUUUAGAUAUCUGGAUAGAUGGAUGGAUCUAUCUUUCUAUUCAGAUAUCUUUUGCAAUCAGCCCCAAAUCCUUGAUUUGGCUAGGAAACAAAGCACUGCUUUGGGCCCAGGAAGCGAAGGGAAUGAGCUCGGCUGCUUCUCCCCCACACUUCUUUAUUUCUCCGUGCCCCUUCCGCAUGCGCUUCGCGCGCCAUUGGCGCUUUGCUCUCCUCUUAUUUCUUCAUUGGAGGGUUCGGAUGGACUUCGCCGUUCUUUCCUGA